GAUGAACGCUGGCGGCGUGCCUAAUACAUGCAAGUCGAGCGAACGGACGAGAAGCUUGCUGCGCGGAUGUUAGCCGCGGAGGGGUGAGUCACACGUGUAUAACCUACCUAUCAUACUGGGAUAAUUUGGGGAAACCGGAUCUAAUACCGUAUAAUAUUUUGAACCGCAGUGUGCGAAAGUAAAAUACGGUGUUGCUGUCACUUAUAGCGGGAUCCGCGCUGCAUGAGCUAGUUGGUAAGGUAACGGGUUACCAAGGCUACGAUGCAUAGACGAACUGAGAGGGUGGUCGGCCACACGGGAAGUGAGCCAGGGUCCAGAGUACUACGGGAGGCAGCAGUAGGGAAUCUUACGCAAUGGGCGAGAGCCUGACGGAGCAAGGGCGAGUGAGUGAUGAAGGUGUCCGGAUCGUGAAAAUCUGCUACUAGGGAAGAACCUAUGUGUACGUAACUGUGCACAUAUUGACGGUAACUGAUCAAAAAGCCACGGCUAACUACGUG
rnacentral:rRNA from 1 species